AUUGAACGCUGGCGGCAGGCAUAACACAUGCAAGUCGAGCGGAGAGGCGGAAGGGUGAGUAAUGCAUAGUAAUCUGACUGGUCGUGGGGGAUAACGUCCAGAAACGGGCGCUAAUACCGCAUACAAUCAGCUGAGCCUAGGUCGGAUGAGCGAGUUGGUGGGGUAAAGGCAUACCAAGGCGACGAUCCGUAACUGGUCUGAGCGGAGGAUCAGUCACACUGGAACUGAGACACGGUCCAGACUCCUACGGGAGGCAGCAGUGGGGAAUAUUGGACAAUGGGCGAAAGCCUGAUCCAGCCAUGCCGCGUGUGUGAAGAAGGUCUUAGGAUUGUAAAGCACUUUAAGUUGGGAGGCGUUACCAACAGAAUAAGCACCGGCUAACUUCGUGCCAGCAGCCGCGGUAAUAC
rnacentral:rRNA from 1 species